ensembl:snRNA U6 U6 spliceosomal RNA
GUGCUCAUUUCAGCAGCACAUGUACUAAAAUUGGAAUGAAACAGAGAUUAGUAUGGCCUCCAUACAAAGAUGACAUGCAAACUCAUGAAACAUUUUAUAUAUAU